AUCAUCGUCAUGACCUUCCUUCCUCGGCCCUGACCUAACUAUAUGCUUUGGUGCAAUUGAAAUCUUUGGAAAAAAACUCGGCACUUGAAUUUUAUACAUGAUUAGAAGGAUCUCAUCAAAUUACCUAUCCUUCGUUUUAGGGUUUCUUCUUUCCACCACAACCCCCUUCACUGACGGAGGUUCAUCCACAUGCUUGACGGAUUGCAAAAACGGCGGUGCUCCAGCGGUGUUCUAAUCUCCAAAAUGCCCCCGUUGGAGACUCUUCAGUUACGAUUCUGCUCCUCAAACUACAACGUGUUACCAGUCCUCGAUGCUCCAGGGUUGACAAAAAUCACAAGAUUAUCGCACUCUCCAUUUCCUCGACGUUUGCAUUUCAUCCUGAAAAACUAUUCUAAUUUCUUUUAUGUUUUGUGUUCCAGAGGCUUCAUUAGAAGAUUUAUUGCUGAUUCUAUGUGUUUGAUGCUGGAGCAGGCCCGAUCGGGAUCAGGGAGACUGUAGUUGGAAUUAAGGGUUUUCGAUGGUCAUAACAGUGCUGAAGCUAGUGAGAUGGCGUCAAAACUUUUGAUGAGUAUUUUGUUCUGCAUACUUAUUUUCUUCUUGAUGUUAUGUAUUCUGUUAUAUCAAAGACUUUGACAGGAACAUUGCUUCACAGACGGAACAUGUUCACGUAAACUUAUUUCAUAGAUGGAAAGAGAUUAUAGGUUGGCAUUGGCAUGAACUGCAAUCUGAAAGCUAUGAUCUCUUUGAUAUGGAUGGAAAGCAAGUUCCGCAAGAUUUGGUUAAAGAAGUUGGUAAAAUCUUCGAAACAAAUUUGCAGGAGAAUUCAUCUUGUAAUGCAUGUUGUAUACACUGCCGCUUGCAUUGGUGCGCCUUGUGUCAAGAGCAUUGGGAGAUGAAGGGAAGGCUCUCGAAAAAUAUUUUUUCACAAAUGAACAUUGCAACCCCUCCUCCCAUUUAGGAGAUGAAUUCUACUGACGAAAAGGAAAAUCCCGAGACAUCUUCGGCUAACAAUAGUGAACACAUUACUUUGGAGAUGCAUAAGAAAGCUACUGUCAAUCUCGAGACAUCAAGCCUGGCCCAGAUAUUGAUGUCUACAUGAAGGUGUACAUCGAGAAGCUACUGUCAAUCUUAAUAUAGUCAUUGUAUAUAAGUGGUGGGUUUUAGGCUAUCUACCAUUUGUAAGAACAAUGGAUGUAUUAACUAUGAAAAAGAUGUCAUAGACUUUUCUCCUUCAAACUGUCAGGUUUAUGAUUUAAAUUCUGCUCACUAGAUUCCUUGAA